GGAAGCUGGCGAUAACGUGUGUUGACUUCAGUCAUCGAUUUCGCGUAUUUUCAUUGCAAAGAUGCCCAGGAAAAAGAAAGUUUUCAUCAGCAGUCGCCGGAAGGGCUACUCAAAGAGGGGUCCGAGACAACAAGGUGUCAGUUCUUCCUCUCUCUCAGACAUUCUUAUUCAUCAGUUCAAUCAACUGUUCUUGACGAUUGCAGUUCAAGAGAUGCACUGUGGGACAAAGCAUGGAAGUCAUUCUUCAUUGACCUCACCGAUGAACCCACAGAUACCCCAUGCCUGGAAGAAGCGACAGAUUCUGAUGGUUAUUCGGCUGAUGAAUUCUUUGUUAUUUUGGACACAAUUUACCAGUAUCAUCCGGACAACAAUGUAGAUGAAUUUGUUGAUGGCAUCCUGCGAUACCAGCAAUAUUUAACAUUAAAAAAGGAGCUGUUUCAGCAUGUAGAUGAGCUAGGCAAUUUUACAAUUGCAAGAAACAAGCGUGAAAACAUUACUAUUGUGCAGUUUUAUGACUGACGUAGGCUCAGUCCAGCUUUCAGUAGUCAUCAAGCCAUCCUUUACAUCAGCAAUAUAUGCACAUCAUCGUGACUUUGGCCCAA